rnacentral:tRNA from 2 species
GGUGGAAUGGCCGAGCGGUCUAAGGCGCCAGAAUCAGGAUCUGGUCUCAUUGAGGCGGGAGUUCGAAUCUCCCUUCCAUCA